GUGUAAUUUAUUUGACUUUGACAAGAAUUCUUAACAAAUCCGAUAAUUUUGGACUGUUCGAACAUCUUUAUCACUGUGUCUGGCAUGUUUUACAUCUUAUAAAGUUUGCGCCUAGUAUGUAUCCAAAAUACUUUGUGCAUUGCUUUUACACUAAAACUAUAUUCUAUUUUAGUCCCUUAAUGUCUGUACUACCUCUUUUCCACUUGAAUCUGAAAUUUCCAGGUUUUUUUUAAUUUUUUACUUUAACUGCACCUGCAACCAGAAAUAGUUGUUGGCAAUGCGUAUUUCAAUAAUAAACACGAUCAGUAGUUAUAUGCCCUCAGGAUAACACAAU
rnacentral:lncRNA from 1 species